AGGGGUUUAGGUUAUUUAGACCAAGAGCCUUCAAAGCCCUAAGAAGAUGCAACCUAAUCUAACCCCUG
rnacentral:tRNA from 1 species